CAGGCUGGCUGUACCCGGUUUGGAGGCAAACCGGAUGUGACGUGUGCCAGUGGCGUACUCCCUGCCCCCAGAUAGGUACUUGUACGCCUAGGGAAAGACGCUGCUAGGUGCUGCUGCUAAAUCCCUGUGGUUUCUGCCAGCCACAUGCGGCCAUUGCCGGCUCACGUAGGUUCGUUCGCGUGGUCUUGUUACGCCUCGCUGGAUCGUGUUCAGUCAUGCCGUCCUUGCGCGGCGUGAUUGUCGGUGAGUCAGGUUAAAUUCUUAAAUAGGUCGCGCCUGCGCCUAAUUGAGUCUAUAAAAGCCUGCACAUUCAGUUUUGCUAGCUACAAUGCAGUGCGGCUGGCGUGAGCUGUCUCCACGAUGCGCUUCGAGCGUGUCGAUUUCGCCGUUCUUUAUGUUGGCGUUAACGACCUUGAAAGCAACAUGGAUCCACAAGAAAUGUGCGACAACAUCAAGGCCUUGAUUGUUCAACGAGACGGCCCCCGUCGUGCUGGUUUUCAAGGUGCUCCCUCGCUGCCUAGAAGAUGCUGAUGCGGAAUAGAAAAUGCAAAAACGUCGCUUGCUCAACCGCAAAUUGACGGUUACGCUGAAGCGCAUGUCGUGUCUGCGGAAUUUGAACCCCGAGCUUUCCAGAGUUCCUUGGAAAAUCCCCCCAUGCACCUGCCAUGUACAUUGCCCUCCUCCUCGAUGUGGCGUGCAAGAUGGCAGCAGCAGCUGUGGGAACAGUUGAAGAGGCGAAGAAAGGUCCACUUUAUAAUAGGUUGUAUGUAAAUAAAACUGAUCGACCUCAA